UCUGGGCCCAGAGCAUCACAUUGUAUCCAGCAUCUCCAGGGGAAAACUGGCUGGGAGACUUUUCCUGCCUGUGGGACCCGGAGCGGGGACCGGCUGCGCGCCCCUGCCAAGUUCCUGCGCCGGACCAACAACAACAAGCAGCACUGUGGAGCUGGUGGCCGCUCGCCCAGCCCCGCCGGCAUCUCCUGCGCCCCCGCAGACCCCAUGGACCCCAUGUCCCCUGCAGCCCCACAUGCCCUGGGGAGGAGGGAGCCAGGUGGCCGUUGUAAGCCCCCCACCCUGACUCUCCUCACUGUUUUUAUUCUGCUGUUGCUGCAACAGCUCAAAUGGUUAUUUAUUAUUUGCAGCUCCCUUGGGGCUCUUUUCCCAUCCCUCCUCCCCUGCCCCCUGUGGAAGGAAGCAGCCUUCUCAUGCAGGAGACAGAUACUUCCCAGUGGGCUGCAAAUUUUGGUGUCCUGACUGGGGAGACUAUUCUUAUGCAUUGGUCUGGAGGAUUGUUAACAUACAGGUACACUGUUAUUAAUGACAAAUUCACUCUUAGCCCGAGGAGACAAGUAUCCACCGGUGGUGGCAGACAGGUAUGGAGGCACCAUCUGAGUCUUCCUCUGGGCAACACUUUUUCCCAUAAAGCAGGGUAUUCCCCUCGCAUCCAGGUAAUGAAUUUCUUUAUCAUCCCCACGCGCACAACUGAACACAUUUAAUGAGCCAGCAGCUCUAAGGGGGUCUCCCUGAUUUGAAAUUUCGGGGGCCAUUGCAUUCAGAUUCACUUUUUAUGUUACUAUCCCCUUGUGAAUCACUGAGUCCUUACUGGAAAUCAGAAUAGAUGAAGCAAACUCUGCCCACUAUAGUUUUCAAAUUCCCUACUAUGCCCUACUUGCCUUUGACUAGGGUUAGGCAAGUUUGCCCAUUACCAUUACAAAGCCCACAAAAAAUGUUGAAAGCAGAAAGCAGCAGUAGCAAAGACUACAUGGUCCAGCAGCCUGAACCCACACCAGGUCACCCAGAAAGAGUUGAUCUGCCAACCUAAUAGCUACCAGGAAAGAGGGGAAAAAAGAGGUGAUAUUCAUAACAAUAUCAGAAAAUGUUCGUUCACACAUUCCUGAAUGACUGCCACGAGAUGUCUUGCUUUGGUACCUGCAAAUUGCCGCUGUUGUAUCAGAAAGCUACCAACAAAGUCUCAAACUGUCACAGGAAUGUUAACAACCUCAAAUUACCUUUCUUCUUCACAAGGAUUGAAAACUGUGUCUUCUUAGUAGCUAUUGACUUGAUCCCCCCAUAUGCUUUACAUGUAUAUCUCAGCCUAGUAAUGCUCGGUGUAGCUAGUAUUUAUGAUACUGACUGUGAAGAAAGCUACGGGUACUUUUGUUAUGCUCCCAAAAUUCUUAGUGAGAAUUAAGCUACUCAAAAUAAUAAUAAAAAAAGAAUCAGGGUUGUAGUUACAGGCGGCAUAUCCCUGCUCUUGUUCUCCCCCAAAGCUUCACAUCACCCUUUUUCAGCCUGAAGCUGUGACAAGAUGAACAACCCCAAAGCAAGGGGCAGGACUCACAGCAGUUACUGUGAAAUACAAGACCUGUGCUUCCUACUGAAGAGUCAAAUGCCAUGGAGCGAAGACUGGGGAAGAGAGGGCAGCACACACCUGCUCCGAGCAUGGUGCAGGGCUUGCAAGUUAAUGUCGAACUCUCUGUUUCCACCCUUGCCACAGGUCUUUAAUUCAAGACUCCAUGCCUUCCACUGGGUUUGACAGAAGAUGCAGAUAGGAGCAGGGUGCAUGGGAAAUUUGUGUCCUUUGGCAAGACAAGAGAGCAGCAGCAGAGCCAUCUGCUCUAACCACAGCCUGCUGCCUGCAGCAGCAGUUCUGUGACACCUCGAGUGUUUGUCUCCACAGAGAGCUUGCACAGGCUGUUUCUAUAGCCGUCACAAGCAGACUGAGCAAUCCAGUGCUGUCACAUUGUGUGGUUACCUUGCAGAUAAUAUGGGUGACUGCACCUAUUUGAAUGUGGGAAAGGAAAAUGCCUUGCUGGUCUAUUCUUGCAUGUUUACUUUUUGGUGGCCUAAGCUGCCUGCCAAAGCAGCAUAUGGGCUCUGUAGCAAGGGGUAUUGUAGCAUCUAUUAACAAUUGCAGUUGUUAAUAGAAAAUUUAGAAAACACAUUGACACAUCUUUCCCUGGUGUUCAGGGCCAAUGUGUUGGCCUCAGGACAUACCACUGGGGAGUUGUCAUCCUUACAGCCACACCUGGGCCCCAGCAGUGGCUUCCAGGUAACAGGAUGGCAGCAGAUUUCACAUGUAAGAAGAACAUGGAGUUUUCAUUUCAGAGCUAAUGUCUAUGGCUGUCUGCAGGUGAAGACAGUCUUUUUGCACCAAGGAAUUUCAGGGCCAUAUUUUUAAGCUCUUUUGCACGCUCUGUCUGCAAAUACCAAUUUCUUUUUAAAAGAGACUCCACCCUUGUUGGCAGACACCAACAAGGUUGUUGGUGGCUUAGCUGGUGGCUAAGGUCCACUGACUUUUCAGGCAUCAUGGUGCCCAGGAGGAAGUGUAGCCCAAAGUUAGGUGCCUACAGCAUCCAUAUGAAGUGUGUAGAGAGCAAAGCACCUCAGUUGUGGAGCUACCUUAGCUAGUUCAGAAAAAAUGCCCAGGAAAGGACUUUGACUUAAGCUCUACAUGUUAAGGACAUAGAGACUUUAAGCCGUGGUUGGAGGGAAGAUCCUACGUUCAUCUGGAAGAUGAAAGCCAUUUCCUGAAGAUAGUCCUCUUUUGGAAAGCAUGCUGGCAGUGAAAACAGCAGGAUAACAGUAUUUAGAACCUUGACUCUGGCAUUUUUAUGUUGAGUAUUUCUUGUAUCAAGCACUGGACCCUGGUUUUGCUCCUUCAGGCCAGCUCCAUAACGACUAGGCAGGCACCCCUUUCUCUCCUCACCUCUGUACUGUAAAGUAGCUCCAUUUUGCUCCCAAUUUAGGUCCCACAUUGGUUAUACAAAUAAAAAAUCAAAACAUUCACUGGUAGAUGCUUCAUUAAAUGUCAAAUAAAAGUUUCUCGUGUUUCCAUUUCUCCA